rnacentral:rRNA from 1 species
UACGUAGGCAGCAAGCGUUGUUCGGAGUUACUGGGCGUAAAGGGUGCGUAGGCGGUUGUUUAAGGUUGGUGUGAAAUCUCCCGGCUCAACCGGGAGGGUGCGCCGAAUACAGAACGGCUAGAGUGCGGGAGAGGAGAGUGGAAUUCCUGGUGUAGCGGUGAAAUGCGUAGAUAUCAGGAGGAACACCGGUGGUGUAGACGGCUCUCUGGACCGUAACUGACGCUGAGGCACGAAAGCGUGGGUAGCAAACAGG